rnacentral:rRNA from 1 species
AUGGACGCCUCCGAGUGCGCCGCCCCUCCGCCAUCUUCGAAGAAUCAGCCGUCGAUUGUAUUUCCGGGCGAUUUUUUGAUGGGCUCCUUGAUCUGUCGCAGAUACCCGCACAUGCAAGGGGGCGCGUCGUCUUUGUCGUCGUCCUGCCGCGCCGCCGACGCCGCCGCCUGGGACGCCGUGAAGCAACAGAAACGCCAGCGCUGCCAGGGAUCAUCAUCCGGUGAUAAAGUUGGAUCCUGUACAGAAAGUAACUCCUUCAAAGCAUCUGAAGCCGAGCUACAGAAUUUUGACUCUGGUGAAAUUGAGGAAGAAGAUUAUUAUAUAGAUGAUGAAGAUGAAGGCUGCUACGAUGAUGACAAUGAAGGAUCUGACUAUGAAUUUGAUGAAAGUGAUUUCAAUCAGCAGCUGGCUGAUAAAUUUGAUGAUUUAGAUCUGCCUCCUGGUGUGGAGGCUUCUGUACCAUGGUUGCAGAAAGCUGCAACUGAUGACGGCCCUGGCAAUUUUAAGUCAAUGUCAGAAAUAGAGGAUGAAAUUGGUAAGAAAUACAAGUUCUUCAAACAGUUUGACACUGUUGAGGAUUUCUCCGAUCAUCAUUAUGCUAAUAAACCUGUUGGAAAGGCAGGGAAAGAGUGGACAAAAAGAAUUCAGCAUGACUGGAAACUUCUGGAGAAUGAUUUACCAGCGUCCAUAUAUGUUCGUGUCUCGGAGAAUCGAAUGGACCUUCUCAGGGCUGUGAUGAUUGGGCCUCAGGGAACACCCUACCAUGAUGGCCUUUUCUUCUUUGAUGCUCAAUUUCCUGCUAGUUAUCCUGCAAGUCCUCCUACUGUAUACUAUCAUUCUGGAGGACUUAGGCUUAAUCCAAAUUUGUAUGCUUGUGGAAAAGUCUGCCUUAGCCUCCUAGGCACCUGGGAAGGUCAUGGUUGUGAGAAGUGGAACUCAGCUCACUCAACCAUGUUACAAGUGCUAAUCUCCAUUCAAGCUCUCGUAUUGAAUGAGAAGCCAUACUUCAAUGAGCCAGGAUAUGAAACAUAUGCCAACAAUGCUAGUGGGCAGAGGACUGCCUUGGAGUAUAAUGACACAACAUUUCAAUACUCAUGUAGGACAAUGUUGUACUCGCUUCGUAGGGCUCCACAGCACUUUGAAGAUCUCGUUGCUGGCCACUUCCGUGAGCGCGGCCGUGCCAUUCUGGCUGCAUGCAAAUAUUACAUGGAGGGUAACAAAGUUGGGUCCGUAGUUCCUGACGAGGACGACGAGGACAAGGAACUGGAAAGCGCAAAUGCAGAAGGAUCCAGCAGUGGAGUGAAGCCAAAGAAUAAUCAGGUAGAUUUGCGUGCAGGCGCAGGUGUAGUUCGCCCUGCAUCCUUCAAGACCAACAUGGAGGUUCUGUUUGAAGAGCUCCUGAUGGAGUUCAAUGUGAAAGGUGCUGACACCAAGAAGUUCUGUGCCGAGAAGUUGAAGAAGAGCCAGCCUGCUGCUGCUUGA